AUCAGUGAGGAGAAAGGAACAGCGGCAUGAUUAGAUACUAUGUUGUAGCGGGGGGGUCAGUGAGGAGAAAGGAACAGCGGCAUGAUUAGAUACUAUGAUGUAGCAGGGGGGUCAGUGAGGAGAAAGGAACAGCGGCAUGAUUAGAUACUAUGUUGUAGCAGGGGGGGGUCAGUGAGGAGAAAGGAACAGCGGCAUGAUUAGAUACUAUGUUGUAGCAGGGGGGGGUCAGUGAGGAGAAAGGAACAGCGGCAUGAUUAGAUACUAUGUUGUAGCAGGGGGGGUCAGUGAGGAGAAAGGAACAGCGGCAUGAUUAGAUACUAUGUUGUAGCAGGGGGGGGUCAGUGAGGAGAAAGGAACAGCGGCAUGAUUAGAUACUAUGUUGUAGCAGGGGGGGUCAGUGAGGAGAAAGGAACAGCGGCAUGAUUAGAUACUAUGUUGUAGCAGGGGGG